UAAGGAAUAUUGGACAAUGGUCGCAAGACUGAUCCAGCCAUGCCGCGUGCAGGAAGACGGCCCUAUGGGUUGUAAACUGCUUUUGUACCAGAGAAAACCUAUCUACGUGUAGAUAGCUGAUAGUAUGGUAAGAAUAAGCAUCGGCUAACUUCGUGCCAGCAGCCGCGGUAAGACGAAGGAUGCAAGCGUUAUCCGGAUUCAUUGGGUUUAAAGGGUGCGUAGGCGGGCUUGUAAGUCAGUGGUGAAAUCUCUCAGCUUAACUGAGAAACUGCCAUUGAUACUGCAGGCCUAGAGUAUAGAUGACGUUGGCGGAAUAUGACAUGUAGUGGUGAAAUACUUAGAUAUGUCAUAGAACAUCGAUUGCGAAGGCAGCUAACGAAACUAUAACUGACGCUGAGGCACGAAAGUGCGGGGAUCAAACA
rnacentral:rRNA from 1 species